AUUGAACGCUGGCGGCAGGCCUAACACAUGCAAGUCGAGCGGAUGAGGGGUGCUUGCACCCCGAUUCAGCGGCGAACGGGUGAGUAACACGUAGGAAUCUGCCUGGUAGUGGGGGACAACGUUCCGAAAGGAACGCUAAUACCGCAUACGCCCUCCGGGGGAAAGCUGGGGAUCUUCGUCCCUAGCGCUAUCAGAUGCGCCUGCGUAGGAUUAGCUAGUUGGCGGGGUAAAGGCCCACCAAGGCGACGAUCCGUAACUGGUCUGAGAGGAUGAUCAGUCACACCGGAACUGAGACACGGUCCGGACUCCUACGGGAGGCAGCAGUGGGGAAUAUUGGACAAUGGGGGCAACCCUGAUCCAGCCAAGCCGCGUGUGUGAAGAAGGCCUUCGGGUUGUAAAGCACUUUAGGUCGGGAGGAAGGUUCGCUGGCUAAUAUCCAGCGGAAUUGACGUUACCGACAGAAUAAGCACCGGCUAACUCCGUGCCAGCCGCCGCGGUAA
rnacentral:rRNA from 1 species